rnacentral:rRNA from 1 species
AGAGUUUGAUCAUGGCUCAGAACGAACGCUGGCGGCGUGCUUAACACAUGCAAGUCGAGUGCGCGGUUGUAGCAAUACAACUGGCGCACGGCGCACGGGUGCGUAACACGUGGGCAAUCUGCCCUCCGAUGGGGAAUAACUCCGGGAAACCGAAGCUAAUUCCGCAUAACAUUCCCUGGACUCCGGUUCGGGGAUUCAAAGCAGUAAUGCGUCGGAGGAGGAGCCCGCGCCCGAUUAGCUAGUUGGUGAGGUAACGGCUCACCAAGGCUAUGAUCGGUAGCUGGUCUGAGAGGAUGGCCAGCCACACUGGAACUGAGACACGGUCCAGACUCCUACGGGAGGCAGCAGUGGGGAAUCUUGCGCAAUGGGCGAAAGCCUGACGCAGCGACGCCGCGUGGGGGAUGAAGCUUCUCGGAGUGUAAACCCCUUUCGACCGGGACGAAUGCCCGCAAGGGAGUGACGGUACCGGUAGAAGAAGCCCCGGCUAACUACGUGCCUGCAGCCGCGGUAAGACGUAGGGGGCCAGCGUUGUUCGGAAUUACUGGGUGUAAAGGGUUCGUAGGCGGUGCGGCAAGUCGGGAGUGAAAUUUCUGGGCUUAACUCAGAACCUGCUUCCGAAACUGCUGUGCUCGAGUGUGGGAGAGGCGCGUGGAAUUGCAGGUGUAGCGGUGAAAUGCGUAGAUAUCUGCAGGAACACCCGUGGCGAAAGCGGCGCGCUGGACCACUACUGACGCUGAGGAACGAAAGCUAGGGGAGCAAACAGGAUUAGAUACCCCGGUAGUCC